rnacentral:lncRNA from 1 species
GGAGGAGGGUUCCCAGGGUCUGUGCUGUUGAUCGUUUUGAAUUUCGGCACCUUAGGAGCUUCUAGUUUGAGAUCGGUCGGGAAGGGUUUUCCGGAGAUCUGAACUUCAGCUUUCUCUAAGCCGCCAUCUUAACCGGAAGUCCGAUAUGGUCAAUUAUGUGGAUGGUUUUCCUGAUAUUGAACCAGCCCUGCAUUCCUGAUAUAAAUCCCACCUGUUUAUAGUGAAUAACCCUCCUGAUGACCUGCUGGAGUCUUUUUGCUAGUAUUCUAUUUAAGAUUUUUGCAUCUAUAUUCAUUAGGGAGAUUGGUCUAUAGUUUUUUUGACCUGCUUGACUUUGUAAUCAGUACCAUAGUUGUGUCAUAAAAGGAAUUUGGUAGCACUCCCUCUUUGCUUAUUAUGUCAAAUAGUGUGUAUAGUAUUGGGGUUAGCUGUUCUUUGGAUAUUUGAUAGAAUUCACUUGUGAAUCCAUCAGGCCCUGGGGAUUUUUUCUUAGGGAGUUCUUUGAUGGCCUGUUUAAUUUCUUUUUCUGAUAUGGAUUUAACAAUUCCAUUUCUUCUUCUGUUAAUCUAGGCAGUUUAUAUUUUUGUACAUAUUCAUUCAUGUCACCUAGAUUGCCAUAUUUAUAGCCAUAUAAUUGGGCGAAAUAAUUUUUAAUGAUUGCCGUAAUUUCCUCUUCAUUGGAGCUAAGUAAAGUUUUCAGAGACACUGUGCUUAAAGGAACGUUCAAUGCUACCCUAAGGAAUCCUUUAUUGACUCGGGUGGAAAAUGAAUGUAAGGACCACACGAUCAAAAUACAAUUCCAACCGGGGAGCAAACCUGCUUUUUAAAAUGGUACUAGAGAAUUUACUCUAGAACAGAGAACCUUGCUGCAUGUGGGAAAUUCAAUUUAUUGGUUAUUAUAAAUCCAUAUUGAAGAGAAAUAUUCUUGAUGGAUCCUCUGAUUUAAUUCAGAAGGACAUCCUCGAAAGACAACCUAAUUUUUUCUGCCAUGGUGAGACCAUGGAAGUAGCACGGAUACCUAUUUCCGACUGUUCUAACAUAUAUCAAUUGAUGCUUCGUUCCAAAUUUAACAAUAAAUAAAAAAUAUUUGAUUGAAUGUUUUCUUUUUCUCCAAGUGUCUCAUCUUAUAACCAUAGAAUACAAUGAUAUAUAUAUAUAUAUAUAUAUAUAUAGAAUACAAUUAUAUGCCAAGAG